UACAGAGGGUGCAAGCGUUGUUCGGAUUUACUGGGCGUAAAGCGCACGUAGGCGGUUUGUUAAGUGAGAGGUGAAAUCCCAGAGCUCAACUCUGGAACUGCCUUUCAUACUGGCAAGCUAGAGUCCGGAAGAGGUAAGUGGAACUCCUAGUGUAGAGGUGGAAUUCGUAGAUAUUAGGAAGAACACCAGUGGCGAAGGCGGCUUACUGGUCCGGAACUGACGCUGAGGUGCGAAAGCGUGGGGAGCAAACAGG
rnacentral:rRNA from 1 species